UCAGACAUGGUGUAGCGGUAACAUCGCCUUCUUCAAUUGACAUCCUUACUUUCAGCUCUGCGAGGCGGUCGCGGGUUCGAAUCGCGGUGUCUGAG